rnacentral:antisense_RNA from 1 species
CGGUACGACAUUGCUCACAUUGCUUCCAGUAUUUUUGCCCGCACCUGUGCGGGCUUUUUUU